ensembl:lncRNA
UGUUGAAGAUGUUUGUUUUUUAUUCAGUUGGGAAACAUAUCACGAUAAAACACUAUUAACAUAAGAUUUCAAUUAGACAUUAUUACAACCAUUUGAGCAUUUAGUUACAGUUGGUGUCCACACAGACACACACAUGGUUCCAUAACACAGCCAUCGUGUCCUCAGCUUAGAUCAUAACAACAGAAAGGUCACUUUAAUUCUCUAUUUAAAAACAUUGUAACAGCAGGCAGAACACUGUCGUACAAUAACAGGUUAUCUUUACCGGAAGGUUCAGAUACAUUUCUAACAGGGUUUAAUAAGGAGAAAACAUUCAGAGAGGAGGAAGAGGGGUUUAAUAAGGAGAAAACAUUCAGAGAGGAGGAAGAGGGGUUUAAUAAGGAGAAAACAUUCAGAGAGGAGGAAGAGGGGUUUAAUAAGGAGAAAACAUUCAGAGAGGAGGAAGAGGGGUUUAAUAAGGAGAAAACAUUCAGAGAGGAGGAAGAGGGGUUUAAUAAGGAGAAAACAUUCAGAGAGGAGGAAGAGGGGUUAAUAAGGAGAAAACAUUCAGAGAGGAGGAAGAGGGGUUUAAUAAGGAGAAAACAUUCAGGGAGGAGGAGGGGUUUAAUAAGGAGAAAACAUUCAGAGAGGAGGAAGGGGGGUUUAAUAAGGAGAAAACAUUCAGAGAGGAGGAAGAGGGGGGGGGGGGUAUGUUUAACAUGUGCCUCAGAAUUGGGACAGAAGUGGGGUAUGUUUUAAAAUGGCACCCUUCUCUCCCUACAUAUUGCAGUACUUUUAAACAGAGCCCUAUGGGCUCUAGUCAAAAGUAGUGUACUACUGUAUAUAGGGAAUAGGGUGUGAUUUGGGACACAACGUGGAACUACUGUAUAUAGGGAAUAGGGUGUGAUUUGGGACGUGGAACUACUGUAUAUAGGGAAUAGGGUGUGAUUUGGGACACAGCCGUGGAACUACUGUAUAUAGGGAAUAGGGUGUGAUUUGGGACGUGGAACUACUGUAUAUAGGGAAUAGGGUGUGAUUUGGGACGUGGACCUACUGUAUAUAGGGAAUAGGGUGUGAUUUGGGACGUGGACCUACUGUAUAUAGGGAAUAGGGUGUGAUUUGGGACGUGGACCUACUGUAUAUAGGGAAUAGGGUGUGAUUUGGGAUACA